AGGGAAAUAGCUCAGUGGCAGAGUGCAUGCUUAGCAUGCCUAAGGUCCUGGGUUCAAUCCCCAGUGCCUCCG
rnacentral:tRNA from 1 species